rnacentral:rRNA from 1 species
GCAUGCAAGUCGAACGGUAAGGGAGAGCUUGCUCUCCCCUAGAGUGGCGGACUGGUGAGUAACGCGUGGGUGACCUGCCCUGAAGAUGGGGAUAGCUAGUAGAAAUAUUAGAUAAUACCGAAUGAGCUCAUUUACAUAAAGGUAAAUGAGGAAAGGAGCUACGGCUCCGCUUCAGGAUGGGCCCGCGUCCCAUUAGCUAGUUGGUGAGGUAAAGGCCCACCAAGGCAACGAUGGGUAUCCGGCCUGAGAGGGUGAACGGACACAUUGGGACUGAGAUACGGCCCAAACUCCUACGGGAGGCAGCAGCUAAGAAUCUUCCGCAAUGGACGAAAGUCUGACGGAGCGACGCCGUGUGAAUGAAGAAGGCCGAAAGGUUGUAAAAUUCUUUUGCAGAUGAAGAAUAACCACAGGAGGGAAUGCCCUGUGAGAUGA